GUUUGAUCCUGGCUCAGAUUGAACGCUUGCGGAUUGCUUUACACAUGCAAGUCGAACGAUGAACCUUAUCUUGCUAAGGGGAUUAGGGGCGAACGGGUGAUUAAUAUAUCGGAACGUGCCUUGUGGUGGGGGAUAACUAGACAAAAGAUUAUCUAAUACCGCAUACCCCCUGAGGGGGAAAGUAGGGGAUCUUCGGACCUUACGUUAUAAGAGCGGCCGAUAUCUGAUUAGCUAGUUGGUGGGGUAAUGGCCUACCAAGGCGACGAUCAGUAGCUGGUCUGAGAGGACGACCAGCCACACUGGAACUGAGACACGGUCCAGACUCCUACGGGAGGCAGCAGUGGGGAAUUUUGGACAAUGGGCGCAAGCCUGAUCCAGCCAUUCCGCGUGAGUGAAGAAGGCCUUCGGGUUGUAAAGCUCUUUCGCAAGGAAAGAAAACUUUCUUUCUAAUAAGGAGUGAGGCUGACGGUACCUUGAUAAGAACCACCGGCUUACUACGUGCCACCAGCCGCGGUUAUUACGUAGGGUGCGAGCGUUAACCGGAAUUCCUGGGCGUUAAAGCGUGCGCCGGCGGUUUGGCAAUUCAAAUGUAAAUUCCCCGAACUUCAACUUGGGAACUUGUCGUUUGGAAACGGCCAAAUAAGAAUAUGACGGAGGGGGGGAUAAUUCCNCGUGUNGCCGUGNNNUGCGUNGUGAUGUGGNGGNNUNCCNNUGGCGNNGGCNGCCCCCUGGGNUNNUNUUGUCGCUCUUGCCCGNNGCGUGGGGCGCAAAAGGGCUUNGNUNCCCUGGUNGUCCNCGCCCUCNCCCUCUAUGGGAGUGUCGGGACUUAAAUGUCUUGGUAACGCAGGUAACGCGUGAAGUAGACCGCCUGGGGAGUACGGUCGCAAAGAUUAAAACUCAAAGGAAUUGACGGGGACCCGCACAAGCGGUGGAUGAUGUGGAUUAAUUCGAUGCAACGCGAAAAACCUUACCUACCCUUGACAUGUACGGAACCUCUGAGAGAUUAGAGGGUGCUCGAAAGAGAGCCGUAACACAGGUGCUGCAUGGCUGUCGUCAGCUCGUGUCGUGAGAUGUUGGGUUAAGUCCCGCAACGAGCGCAACCCUUGUCAUUAGUUGCUACGAAAGGGCACUCUAAUGAGACUGCCGGUGACAAACCGGAGGAAGGUGGGGAUGACGUCAAGUCCUCAUGGCCCUUAUGGGUAGGGCUUCACACGUCAUACAAUGGUACGUACAGAGGGCCGCCAACCCGCGAGGGGGAGCUAAUCCCAGAAAGUGUAUCGUAGUCCGGAUUGUAGUCUGCAACUCGACUACAUGAAGUUGGAAUCGCUAGUAAUCGCGGAUCAGCAUGUCGCGGUGAAUACGUUCCCGGGUCUUGUAAACACCGCCCGUCA
rnacentral:rRNA from 1 species